rnacentral:tRNA from 1 species
UGAUAAAGGUGUACUCCUCAAUAUUGAUUGCAACUCAAUUAAUCUUAUCAA